rnacentral:misc_RNA from 1 species
GAAGACUUGGGUCAUCAUUUUCUAUUACCAGUAUAACAUUUUGUGCCAAUCUGUCCAUACAUAAUCAUGUUAUUGCCAAACAAUAGACGACAUGCAAAUAAUUUCCUUUACCGGCCCAGUCGACCACCAAAGCAUGAGUACAUCCAGCUAUCAAGAAAUAACUAAUAAGAUUACAUUUCAUUCAACAACAAAACCAACCAAACAACAGCAUUCAAUGGUACUCGCAGAAUCAUCAGCAUAUAGCAUUCACAAAGAUUCUCGAUAUAAUAAUAGGUACCAAGUUAUCAGAAAACCAAAUGCCACGGAUAAUAUACAAGCAAAGCAAGGGGCUAGAGAGACCAUUUGUAUAUACAACCCCAACACGUGAUGCUCACCAGUUCAUUAGGUGCAAGACUUCGCGAAUUUUAGGAGCAAACCUGAGAAGUCAAUCCCUUUUGUUGUUCUUCAGCCAUUCUAGGUAAGGAAUGCUAAGAUUACUUCUGGCACCUCAUAUUCAUGAUUUGCCUUG